GACGAACGCUGGCGGCGUGCCUAAUACAUGCAAGUCGAGCGGAAGUUGAAGAGCUUGCUCUUCAACUUUAGCGGCGGACGGGUGAGUAACACGUGGGCAACCUGCCCUGCAGAUCGGGAUAACUCCGGGAAACCGGUGCUAAUACCGAAUAGUUUUCGCCACCUCCUGGUGGCGUACGGAAAGACGGUUUCGGCUGUCACUGCAGGAUGGGCCCGCGGCGCAUUAGCUAGUUGGUGGGGUAACGGCCCACCAAGGCAACGAUGCGUAGCCGACCUGAGAGCGUGAUCGGCCACACUUGGACUGAGAAACGGCCCAGACUCCUACGGGAGGCAGCAGUAGGGAAUCUGCCGCAAUGGACGAAAGUCUGACGGAGCAACGCCGCGUGAGUGACGAAGGUUUUCGGAUCGUAAAACUCUGUUGUGAGGGAAGAACAAGUACCACUUAACUACUGGUACCUUGACGGUACCUCACCAGAAAGCCACGGCUAACUACGUGCCAGCCGCCGCCGUAAAAC
rnacentral:rRNA from 1 species